rnacentral:rRNA from 1 species
CGGACGGGUGAGUAACACGUGGAUAACCUACCUAUAAGACUGGGAUAACUUCGGGAAACCGGAGCUAAUACCGGAUAAUAUUUCGAACCGCAUGGUUAAAAAGUAAAAGACGGUCUUGCUGUCACUUAUAGAUGGAUCCGCGCUGCAUUAGCUAGUUGGUAAGGUAACGGCUUACCAAGGCAACGAUGCAUAGCCGACCUGAGAGGGUGAUCGGCCACACUGGAACUGAGACACGGUCCAG